rnacentral:rRNA from 1 species
UACGUAGGGUGCGAGCGUUGUCCGGAAUUAUUGGGCGUAAAGGGCUCGUAGGCGGUUCGGUAAGUGGGAUGUGAAAUCCCUCGGCUCACCCGAGGACCUGCAUCCCAAACUGCCGAGCUUGAGUAUGGGAGAGGAUGAGGGAAUUCCUGGUGUAGCGGUGAAAUUCGUAGAUAUUCGGAAGAACACCAGUGGCGAAGGCGACUUACUGGACACAUAUUGACGCUGAGGUGCGAAAGCGUGGGGAGCAAACAGG